GAGCGAGAUUCCGUCUCAAAAAAAAAAAAAAAUUGUACAGGCUACAGUUGGAAAUGCGUUUUUUUUUAAAGACCAGAUAAUUAUUUGAAGUCAAGUACCUACUGUUCUUUGAUCAACCCAAUACUGAAUACCUCCUCUGUGCUGGGUACUACCAGGGAUAUGAAGAUGAACAAGAUGCCAUCCCCAUCCUGGACGUUCCCCUGGGUUGCAGAGGGCAGGGUGGGUGGGUAAUGUGUAAACAAGUUGUGAGGGUUCAGUGAACAGAGACAAGGAGCAACAUGCAUGCUGCAGAGGGUUCCUGAGAGUGCUGCAGAGGAAAGGGACCAUACUCAGGAAGACUUCACAGAAGCGACUUUUGAACCCUUCAGGAAGACCAGGAGAGGAUCCUCGCCAAGGCAGGGAUGAGGAAUGCAAGAUGGGAGGCUUGGGCCCCAGAGAUUCAUCAGUGAUAUUAAAGUGUUGGCCCAGAUGGGGUGGUGGGUAGAUGGAAAAUAAAGAUGGACCUCCCCGCCUCCUCCCCACCAUCCACCAUCAGAAGACUGGAGGUAUAGAAACAAGUUAGGAGGCUGCUCUGUCCCAAUGAGAAAUGCAGGAUGCCUGAGAUGCCUGAGCCGCAGCAGUGGAGGCACUCAGGGCACAGCCAAGAGAUGAGGAGGAUUUACUGACAAAAAUGCCAGUCACCAAGAGAGAGACAAAUCAGACACCUGUUCUCAGUGCUGUGAUGGGCUGGGUCUGGUAGGAGGCAAAGGAUGUGUUAAUUAUGAUACAAGUAGCAAGUGUUGGAUGUCAUGAGAAAUAGCUAAAAGGGCUCAAACCCAUCAUUGUUUGGCCCAGGAACAUAUGAAAACAUAGAUUACCCCACAUUCCUAAGCAUGUUCAUAUCUCAAGCUUUUUAUGAUCAUUUCACAUAAAAUAUUAUUCAAUUGAGCAAGCUGAGACAAGGCAAGUUGUUCAAGAAUGAAUGUGAUCAAGUCCAGGAGGAAGCCAUACCUCUCACUUGUCCCUGCCUUGAAGCAGUAGCAGAACUUGCCACCCAACUUGAGCAGUGUGCCACUGCCAGCCAGCUCUUUGGCUCAGGUUAACUGCAGAAUAAUUUUCCGUGCUGAGAAUAUUUGUUAAAUAUCACCAUCUCUUCAUUAUGCUUCUGUAAUUCUACCUGCCUGGCAGCUGUCUGCAGGCCAAUAUGUCAGGUGAUAAGCUACCAACUGCCAUGGAGCUGCCCCUUUAGUUAUCUUUGAUUUGGGGAAAACUGCAAAGUGAUAUUUUUACCAUUUUAGUAUGGGUCUAAGCAAGGGGUGUGUGUGCAUGUGUGUGUGUGUUGUAUGUUUUAAUGUAUUCAUACACUAAUCAUGGGCCUUUUUCUUAGUAUUCUUACAUUCCCGUGCAUGUGACUUUCCAGUUAUGUAACUUGCUGUUAGAAAACUUUAGAUUCCCUUGGUUCCUGAAGUACACAGAAGUGGUGUUCAUUUUCAGAGUAGAAACUGAUGUGCCUUUCAGAAUGGCUGACAAAUUUUGGGGGUAAGAAAGUAUGUUACAUGUCCUUAGAGAGAGAGAAAGAAUUGAUUUAUGAAAUAGUACUUUUAAAUUUUUCUUCAGAUUUGGUAUCAUUACCGUAAUUGGUAGACAGUAAAACCUGUCACUUGAAAAUGA
rnacentral:lncRNA from 1 species